rnacentral:lncRNA from 1 species
GAAUUAUUAAAAAAAAAUGCAAAAAAAAAUCACCAUAUUUAGGUACUUUUUAAAGGUCUGGAUAAUUGAUAUAUCUCUUAAAUAUAGCAUUAUCUUGUUAUAUUUUGCAAAGAACAUUAUAAAAAAAAAGAAAAAAUGCAUUUUGACAUUUUUUUUACCUUUUGGCAGGUUGCCAGAGAGGUUCGUGCAACAGAUGUAUUAGAUAACUUGCAUGUAGUACAUGUACUCAGUAGGUGUUUUCUCUCAAGAUCAUAUUUAUUUUUUUCAACUUUUAGGAUUUUUUUAAAGGUGCAUAUCAGUUCUAAGACAAGUAAAAAAAAUU